GUGCCAGCAGCCGCGGUAAUACGGAGGGUGCAAGCGUUAUCCGGAUUCACUGGGUUUAAAGGGAGCGUAGGCGGGCGUAUAAGUCAGUGGUGAAAGCCCUCAGCUUAACUGAGGAACUGCCGUUGAUACUAUACGUCUUGAAUGUCGUUGAGGUUUGCGGAAUAGGUCAUGUAGCGGUGAAAUGCAUAGAUAUGACCUGGAACACCUAUUGCGAAGGCAGCAGGCUAAGCGAAUAUUGACGCUGAGGCUCGAAAGCGUGGGGAUCAAACAGGAUUAGAAACCCUCGUAGUCC
rnacentral:rRNA from 1 species